rnacentral:rRNA from 1 species
UGCCAGUGAUAAACUGGAGGAAGGUGGGGAUGACGUCAAGUCAUCAUGGCCCUUACGACCAGGGCUACACACGUGCUACAAUGGCAUAUACAAAGAGAAGCGACCUCGCGAGAGCAAGCGGACCUCAUAAAGUAUGUCGUAGUCCGGAUUGGAGUCUGCAACUCGACUCCAUGAAGUCGGAAUCGCUAGUAAUCGUAGAUCAGAAUGCUACGGUGAAUACGUUCCCGGGCCUUGUACACACCGCCCGUCACACCAUGGGAGUGGGUUGCAAAAGAAGUAGGUAGCUUAACCUUCGGGAGGGCGCUUACCACUUUGUGAUUCAUGACUGGGGUGAAGUCGUAACAAGGUAACCGUAGGGGAACCUGCGGUUGGAUC